UUGACCCUACGGGAGGCAGCAGUGGGGAAUAUUGCACAAUGGGGGAAACCCUGAUGCAGCGACGCCGCGUGAGUGAAGAAGUAUUUCGGUAUGUAAAGCUCUAUCAGCAGGGAAGAUAAUGACGGUACCUGACUAAGAAGCCCCGGCUAACUACGUGCCAGCAGCCGCGGUAAUACGUAGGGGGCAAGCGUUAUCCGGAUUUACUGGGUGUAAAGGGAGCGUAGACGGCAAUACAAGUCGGAAGUGAAAUACCCGGGCUCAACCUGGGAACUGCUUUGGAAACUGUAUGGCUAGAGUGCUGGAGA
rnacentral:rRNA from 1 species